GCACGUGCUCACCAAACAAGACACACAUGUUGAAUGUCCACACAAGACGUACCCCUUUGGGGAUGUAGUAUCCGCCCACUAUCAAGUCAUCCUGGGUAAUCCGUCCAUUGCCUGGGAGAACUGGAAAAAGCCUGCUCUCAGGGAGGAGCGCACAAAGACUGUUAAUCAGCACCAUUCAAGAUUAAUGCUUUUACAAUAAUCCUAUUCAAGCAAACAAUAACUGUUAUUUGUAGCAUGCAAUGUUCACCUGAGGGUUUCUUUCACCAGGCCUCUGAUUAGAGGACUCCAUGUUGGCUCUCUGAGGGGCCACACCUUCAGCCCUCAGCACCUCAGCCACCAGAUCACGACCGGCGAUGGAGACCACCAGUUGAGGCCCAAAACGGGAUUUAAAAAUGUUCCCGUAUUUCUUGCUGUGCUCCAUCUAUCACACAUCGGCAACCAUUAACAGAUGUUGACGAUGUUCUCGUUUGCUCCUCUUUAUUUAAGAUGUUGUAUAAAUGAUCUGUAACAAUA